GCCACCAUUUCUCUUAUUAUUUGUGCUGGAUUUUAAUUCAUAGUUUAGAUCACAUUUCUGCAGCUUUCCAGCACUGAUUGGUGUCAGUGAAACAGCAAAAGAGAGAGAGAGAGAGGGAUACUACAAACACAAACACACAGAGAGAGAGAGAGAGAGAGAGAGAGAGAGAGAGAGAGAGAGGCAAAAGCUGGUUACUGACAGCUUUGCUGCAUCAAAACUGAGAGGAAGAGAUUACAAACACGCACUGCGGCACUUAUUAGAUCAGACACGUACGAUUCAGAUAUUGGCAUCCGUGGAUCCACGCCUCUCUCUGUCAGUCUCCCUUGGCUUCCUUCUUCUUGGGCUUGCUGCUCUUCUUCGUCUUCAUGAAGCAGAAGCAGGAGCAGCACGGGCACUGGAACAAGAACUUCAUGAUGGCGAUGCCGUGCACCUCAGGCGCAGCACUCACAGCUCUGUGCUCCGAUGGUGGAACUACGACCUCGCUCUUCCACCUUAUCCUCCUCUCUUUAUUAAAUCGACUCGCAUCAAUUCCAUCCGCGUCACUUCCAGAAGGAAGAUGCCCAUGACCGCACUCAAAAGUCACCUCCUCUUCGAUUCUUCCAAAUGGUGGGUCAUCUCGCCAAUGUGCUCCUCCUUUCUGAACCGCUGCUGCUGGUUCAAGUAACCCUACGUUGGGUUAGUCUUUGAAUCACACGGCAUUACUUUUCUCCAGAGCCAGCGGCAAGCAUUCUUUUCCCCGGCAACAACAGCUGCACCACCAACAACAGUCAUCAUUCAUCUUAAGAUUCUCUCGGCCCACGGAUAAGAUCACGUCGACCCCAUCCGUAGCAACUUCUAUGUUUAUUUUGACUUUUGCAUCCUGCUUACUUACUGUCUGGAAGAGUCGAAGCGGUGUGGGACACAGGUCAGCAUGUGCUUCCGUCUCUUUUGUCUCGGCAGAAUCUUCCAUGGGAGGGGCAUGGCCACCGUUCUUUGGCCGAGAAAAGGGUUUAUAACGUGGAAGAAGACGCACAUGGAUGGCUUGUCAAUCAGUACUCCCUGUCUCCCAUGGUGAGUUGCUUGGACUUACGAGUGCAUGUUGCUGUGGUAGUUCUACUUUCACUGCACGUAACGAUGCUCUCUGUUAGUGAACUGAUACGUCGUUGUUGAUGAGUCAUUACGGCCUGAUUCACGGGUCAACGUUAGGAGUCUUCGACGAGGUCGAUCGCGUCCUCCGGAUGUGGGUGCCGUCAUAAUGUGGAUUAGCGUCUCUCGAUCGGGAUGUUCACACCUCAGGAGUCGCUUUCAUGCACAUAAGGCCCUCACCAGGUCGUUAUCGACUGUGACCCCUCGAUAAAUUUUAGCGUAGCGACCAGUCCUCGAGGGGUGAGGAUGUACCUUGGCGUGGCGUCGACCCGGGACGCACGGAAUGAAACGACGCCAUGCAACGUCAUCCCAAGCUUUUUGGGACGAGACAUACCGAGGAAUGUCUCGGUACAGAUCCUGGCUUGGCACGUGGGAGUACUUUGCUUACUGACCCGAUGGUGAUGUGGCGUGGCGUUAGCGGUGAGCGGUGAGGUGGCCAGAGCCCAAAAUAUAACUUAUCACUCUCUUCUUUCAGUAAUUGCAGAUCCUGUAAUGUCUUCAUUUUAUGUGGCUUGUUGGUGGGGAAGAAACACGAAAAACCGUGUGGGUUCUAUGAAAUAAUGUA